UUAACUAGGUCACCAAAACUUAGGCAAAAACCUACUAACUUAAGGCUAGGGAAGUGCUAUUUGUCUAACUUUAGGCUAUGAGAUGUGCACACUGGGGAGCGUGAGCAAAUCCACACAGGGAAGGGCAGGAAUCUGGACCAGCACAUGGAACAGGUACGGCGUGUGCUGUUCCUUCUUCUUUGUUGUCCGCUGGACCUGGGGAUGGCACUGCUUCAUCGCAAUUCGAGGUUAGUAACUUGUCAUUGCUGCUGGUGAGAUCUGCUGUGACGUGUUCUUUGGCACGGUGUGCUGAAGGCACCGGGGCAGGCAGACUUCCCCCUCUUGCUUCAGUUGCCUGGUUUAAGUUAUUAGAGCUCACUUGUCCUCCGUGUUCUUGAAAGAUCCUGUUCUGUCCUGUCACCUCUGAAGACACCACGCUUGAAAUUGGAUUGGAUAAAUCUUCAGCGCUGUAGCUACUGGUGCCUUCAUUACUGAUGCUGCCAACAAUGGAAAUGUUAAUUUGUUUCAUGUCAAUAAAGAAGCAAAGAAUAUGAAGCAAAGAAUAAAAACAAUUCAUGCCAUUGAUGUUUCAAAGCCAUGCAGUACAUGCACUGAGAAGCUGACAAUGUGCUUUCAGGAGCUAAACCAUCAGACACAUGCUACAGUGGUUUAAAUGCUCAUUAUUUUGGAAUCUACAUUAUUUGUGUGAUCUACAGUAACUGCUGUUAUCUGGCAAUACUUCUGUUGUGUAGCAGAAGAUUAAGAAGGGCCCAUCUGUUGAAUGUUUUCUCCAGCUAAUCAGCACAGUUGGUUCUCCCCGAAAGGUGAAAGGUCUCACCCUGCCAAAUGAUGUUGCCAUACAAUAACACACACCCUACGAGGUCAUUUUAUUGCUUUAUUGUUUGAUUUCAGUGCAUAUAAGCUAUAACCAUUUGCAUGAUCUCUCUCCCCACCCACUGAAGAUUAGAUAGAAGUAGAGAUGAUGUGUGUGCACUAACUGCAGAGAAGGAGAAGUUAUUUUUAAUACUUUUCAUGUGCACUGUGUGGCCCUCAGUUUUCACAGCCAGGUUUGUAGGUGAUAAAAUAGUUUAACCUUGUUCUCUCCCUCACCUCCCUGGGCAUAUUUUCACUGCCUUAGAUAACAUGGAGCGAAAUAUCAGUUCAAAACUGAAUGCAAAAUUGUACCUAGGAGAAAGGGGCAUAGUUUACUUGACAAGGAAUUCCAAAGCAAGAUCCAAGAAGCAUCUGUCCCCUUCUCUGCCCAAGUUUUACACACAAAACACUUGAUGGAGGAGUGAGCCAGUGCCCAGAUGUCAGGUCCCUGCAGCUCAGGUCUGUCUUAGAUCCUAAAAACCUCCUUCAGAGUCAUUACAAUGGAAAAUCAUAGAACCAUAGAACAGUUUGGGUUGGAAGGGACCUUCAAAGCUCCCCAAGUGCCACCCCUGCCAUGAGCAGGGACAGCUUCACCAGCUCAGGUUGCUCAGAGCCCCGUCCAGCCUGGCCUGGGAUGUCUCCAGGGAUGGUUCAUCCACCACCUCUCUGGGAAACCUGGGCCAGUGUUUUACCACCCUCAUCAUAAAAAAUUUCCUAGUCCUUAAAGAGCUAUUGAAAUUUGCCUAUAUUUGGGUUAAGCCUUAAAUUCAAGGUAAAAUAUCCAUACUAUACUAUUAAUUUACAGUUUAAACAAAUUUUAGCAAUCCUUGGCAUCAGUUUGUACAUUUAAUCUAUAACACCAAUACAUUUUAUUUAAACUUUUAAAAAUUAUUUUGCCCCCUUUUUUUUUCAAUUUGAUUUUCCUAGCAUAUGAUAGACACCUAUCCAUACAAAUCUUACUGACACUGGGAACAACAAGAGUGGCAACGCAAUAUCUGGUGUUUGCUGGAUCACUGACAACAGGAGGUAUGAUGGGACAUGAACAAACAACGAGGAGAUGCCAAGGGACAUGAACAAACAAUGAGGAGAUGCAAGAGGCUUCCCCUAAGGAGGGAAUAGACUUUAUCAUUUGACAUUAACUUUGCACUCAGGGACUCUUAAUUAGAGAAGAAGGGGCAGAAACCACAACACUGAGUUGGGGAGGGAAAAGUGGGAGUCAAUUGCCAUUCCAGCUUUUUGUUUGUGCUGCAGGUUUAUCUUCCUACAGAUUAAUUUGCUCUUUAGCGGUUGUGUGCAUGGGGUUCUUCAACCUGGAAGCAAUGCUGCUGUCAGACACAUGGCGUUCAGGGCGAGAAUAAAGGUGAGUGCAGGUUGGGGGAGGUGAAGUCCUCUGACCUUUGUGAAACCGAGUGUUAGAAAAAGUGGAAACCACCACCUACAAUGACAGUUUCUCCUUAUCGCUUAUCUUUAACCUACAAUUCUUUACUUGCCAAGCCCAUCCGAGUGAGAAAAAGUAUGGUAAUAAACGUGGGAUUGAAACAUUGUUAAUGUUCACCACAGAGGCAAUACAUCAUUAUAUUUUUGCAUUUUGCACCUUUGAGCUGACUGAAAUUUCUCUAAGAUAUUUACAGAUGUUACUUCUUUGUUACAUUAGAUUUCUAUUUGCAACUAUUAAAUAUGAAACAGUUCCAAA